rnacentral:lncRNA from 1 species
GGAAUAAGUCCAUAUUCCACCUAGCUACAGAGAGCAGUGUUAAGAUACCUUCAUGCUACUGGUGCAUGUGACUGAGCUUCUGUCUAAUCCAGGAUUUUGCCCUGGGUGGUAAAAUCACUCAUUUCUGUGCUUGUAUAAGGAACACAAAGACAUUUCAGAAUCCUGCCAACACAGCUCAGAAUAGAGUUGGGAAUUUCCUUUAGAUUACAAUUGAACGACCUGAAAAGAACUCCUUCCUGAAAUGGUGACUCAGCAAAUAGGUCAAGAUACAAAUUUAUGUAUGAAUAAUGAGACACAAAAUAAGUUCCACCCUGGAGUAGAUACAAACUUCAAUUGCCUCUUACUCCUAGAGACCUUCAUCAUUAUUAUUUCUCUGUUCAUAAAGGAAUAUCGUGAUAGUGGAGCAAGGAGGGAAGAAACUAAGCAAAAGACAGGAGCACUUCUGGAAGAAAUUGGUAAUUAUUUUCAGACUCAUAUUCCUUUGGUGGUCCAUUUUAUUGCAAUGAUUGUUGCACUGCAUUGGAAGUUUUCCAAUCAUCUGACUUUUCCGUAUUUAUUCUCUUUCAAAUUUACAAAAUUUUCUCCAUUUUAUUUUUCAGGAGCACUUCUGGAAGAAAUUGGUAAUUAUUUUCAGAUUCUUAUUCCUUUGGUGGUCCAUUUUAUUGCAAUGAUUGUUGCACUGCAU